UACACUCCUACGGGAGGCAGCAGUGGGGAAUAUUGGACAAUGGGCGCAAGCCUGAUCCAGCCAUGCCGCGUGAGUGAUGAAGGCCCUAGGGUUGUAAAGCUCUUUCACCGGUGAAGAUAAUGACGGUAACCGGAGAAGAAGCCCCGGCUAACUUCGUGCCAGCAGCCGCGGUAAUACGAAGGGGGCUAGCGUUGUUCGGAUUUACUGGGCGUAAAGCGCACGUAGGCGGACUAUUAAGUCAGGGGUGAAAUCCCGGGGCUCAACCCCGGAACUGCCUUUGAUACUGGUAGUCUUGAGUUCGAGAGAGGUGAGUGGAAUUCCGAGUGUAGAGGUGAAAUUCGUAGAUAUUCGGAGGAACACCAGUGGCGAAGGCGGCUCACUGGCUCGAUACUGACGCUGAGGUGCGAAAGCGUGGGGAGCAAACAGGAUUAGAAACCCGAGUAGUCCCAU
rnacentral:rRNA from 1 species